CGUAGGAAAAAUAUGAGUUUUCAAACCUUUUUCCUGCCAAUUGACUGAAUCCGUUUGGAAAAUGUUAUGGAUGAUACAAAUAUAUUUAUUGAUAGUAGCAAGUGUUUAUGACGAGCAAUCUCAAACAUACAUCUCCAAACCAAGACACACCAUGUAAUCUUCUAGUUGACCACUUAGCUAAAACUGACGUUGGUAGCUAGCUACUGGAAGUUAGCUACAUGGGUCGUUUUUAAACUGUGACUUUAGCCGCUAGAAAGCAAAAUAGGACGAUGAUGAUGCCGGAUACGUAUUGUGUUUAUUAUCAGCAUUGAUCGAUUGUAUGACGCUAUUUAGAACACGCCCUGUCCAUGUGUUCCUGAAUGUAGCACUGCACCCGGAUGUAGUGGGUGACUAAGCUAAUGAUCAUGUUGCUAGCCCAGUUUGGUAUCUCGAGCAUCGAACGUUAUAUGUUGACGAUUAUGUGAUUUAUAGCUAGAUAGAGAACUUGGAUGCAGAUUGCAAGCGUGUCUCAUUUUAACCUGUGCGCUUGGGUCAUUUUGGUGAGAAAGCCUGGGAAUCAGCGCUACUGCGGUAGGAACCCGGGAGAAGCUGGAUAACCCGGGAGAGACCCUGAACUGACACCCCAGCUACCACCGACCUACCAUGCCCCUGAUCGUGGAUGCUGUGUGGGCCGUGUGGAGCAUCGGGGCGGGGGUCUAUGACUACUUCCACACCAGUGCCAUGGAGGAACGCAUCGGCAACCUGGAGAGCGUCCUCACCAUCCACCAGUGUGUCAUAGCAGCCCUUUCCGCAGGCCUCGUCCUCCUCAUGACCUACAUACUGUGGAGAAAACACUGAAGCCAUGGUCGUAUUCAGACAGUGAGAUGGCCCCGGGGGAAAGUUUCCCCUAGGUACAGAUCUUGGAUCAUUUCCCCCUCCCUCAAUCCUAUCUGUAACCAGUAGUGGGGAAAAUACUAAACUGACCCAAGAUCAGCAUCUAGGGGCAACUUCACCCUAUUCCAGCGGAGAUGGGAGAUGAGACGGUCCUAGAUACUCCAGACCUAAGGACUGCAUUACGGCUAGCGUCGGCUACUCACCAGACUAACAGCCAGUCCCAAAUCACUCCCUAACCCUCCCCCAUUGUCUUAUGUCAUAUCAUGCGAUGACUGUCAGUUUAGGGACGGGGCAUCGUGUAGGAGUGACGCCACUUAGCAUAAGAUAAUGACCUUGGCCCCUAACCCUUGGGUGUUGGCAGAUCUGAAGGGUCUUGAUAAGUAUAAGCAGAUAGGUAUAAGCAGUGUAAUGCUGGAUCAUCACAUUACUACUACUACUACUGGAGCUCAACAGACAGUCUGCAACCCCUCCCUAGUCCUUCCCCUCGGCCCUGACCAUCAAAGAACGGUCUGGAUAGGUAUGACAACUGGGUAGGUAUAGGAUUCUGUUUCAUCAAAGCACUACUAUUGGAAGAUGAGCUCAAGAGACCAUGAGGAGUUGCUUGUGGAAGCUUCCUGGUGGAAAGUAGUCCUGGUAUACAGUACAAAGGCUCUAUUAGAGCUUGUUGGAGUAGUCACCCCUCCAAGUCUCGUUUGUCACUCUGCUGUUACUUGGAACGGGAUUGAGAGGAAGUCUGGGAGCUGAGGGUAGCUGGAGAGGGGCUCUUCAAUCUGAGAGCUUGAGUGCCGUGAUGACUGUAGCCUGGUCCCAGAUCUGUUUGUGCUAUCGUGUCAACUCCUUGCCAUGCCAAACAUGGAAUUGACAUGAUAGCACAAACAGAUCUGGGACCAGUCUAUCAUGACUGGCUGUGAUCAGAAAACACUGUAUUUUGCUACUGUGUGGAUACUGACGUCUAGCCUGGUCCCUGAUCUGUUUGUGCUGUCUUGCCAACAAUGACCGUAAUGACCGUAGGAGUGGGCAAGACCAUACAAACAGAUCUAGGACCAGGCUGACUCCUGGCCACUUGUUUAAUUUAAAACUAUCAUCCAUUGAAUGUGAUUGAUUCAUGUUGGUACUUUAUAUUGCCGAAAGGGAUUUGUGAAACAUGACUUCCGUCCAUGUGACUGUAGAAUGAGCCUACAUAAUAAUGACACUGUUGGGACUUAACAUUAUAAACCGCUUUCCCACACACAGAUUAAGCCUAGUCCUAGAAUAAAAAGCAUGGUCAAUGGAGAAUCUCUAUUAAAAGUGAUUUAUUAUUUUUUUAGCCCAGGACUAGACUUAAACUGUCUGAAACCUUCCAUGUAAGAGAAAGAUAACACCUUUUUAAGUUACUGUCCAGGUAAAAAAAAAAUACACGUUUCCAUGUCGAUGACACCUUUUAACGGUUUUCUCUGUAUUUGUACGUCAUAACAUCUCGUUUUUAAAAUCAUGCUUUUAUCAUUGUUGGAUCUGUUACCCGUCUACCUGGUUGACUAAUAUCAUGUCUGUUGGCCAUUGUUGUCGACUCAAGUGCUACUGUGUGUAUUUUGCUGAAUCACUACCUGGUUGUUGGUUUCUAUGUGAACAAAAGGCAUUAAUGUCAGGUUAAUAAAUAAUGUGAUUAACUCUG